rnacentral:rRNA from 1 species
UAUGUUAAACUUUUCCUAGUACGAAAGGACCGGAGAAGUGGGGCCAAUGCUUCAACGUAUGCCCCCUCCCUAAAUAAUGACUUCAACUAAAUUAUUAAGGGAUCUCACACAACACCUAGUCCUAGAAAAGGACC